rnacentral:rRNA from 1 species
CCUACGGGUGGCUGCAGUGGGGAAUAUUGGACAAUGGGCGAAAGCCUGAUCCAGCCAUGCCGCGUGUGUGAAGAAGGCCUUCGGGUUGUAAAGCACUUUCAGUGGGGAAGAAAGCCUUGGGGCUAAUACCCUCGAGGAAGGACAUCACCCACAGAAGAAGCACCGGCUAACUCCGUGCCAGCAGCCGCGGUAAUACGGAGGGUGCGAGCGUUAAUCGGAAUUACUGGGCGUAAAGCGCGCGUAGGCGGUCUGAUAAGCCGGUUGUGAAAGCCCCGGGCUCAACCUGGGAACGGCAUCCGGAACUGUCAGGCUAGAGUGCAGGAGAGGAAGGUAGAAUUCGCGGUGUAGCGGUGAAAUGCGUAGAGAUCGGGAGGAAUACCAGUGGCGAAGGCGGCCUUCUGGACUGACACUGACGCUGAGGUGCGAAAGCGUGGGUAGCAAACAGGAUUAGAUACCCUAGUAGUC